GUGUCAGCCGCCGCGGUAAUACGGAGGGUGCAAACGUUGCUCGGAAUCAUUGGGCGUAAAGCGCACGUAGGCGGCCUAGCAAGUCGGGUGUGAAAGCCCUCGGCUUAACCGAGGAAGUGCAUUCGAAACUACUAGGCUUGAAUACUGGAGAGGAUCGCGGAAUUCCCGGUGUAGAGGUGAAAUUCGUAGAUAUCGGGAGGAACACCAGUGGCGAAGGCGGCGAUCUGGACAGAUAUUGACGCUGAGGUGCGAAAGCGUGGGGAGCAAACAGGAUUAGAUACCCGUGUAGUCC
rnacentral:rRNA from 1 species